rnacentral:rRNA from 1 species
GGGGAACCCUGAUGCAGCGAUGCCGCGUGAGUGAAGAAGGCCUUUGGGUUGUAAAGCUCUUUCGUCGGGGAAGAAAAUGACUGUACCCGAAUAAGAAGGUCCGGCUAACUUCGUGCCAGCAGCCGCGGUAAUACGAAGGGACCUAGCGUAGUUCGGAAUUACUGGGCUUAAAGAGUUCGUAGGUGGUUAAAAAAGUUGGUGGUGAAAUCCCAGAGCUUAACUCUGGAACUGCCAUCAAAACUUUUUAGCUAGAGUAUGAUAGAGGAAAGUAGAAUUUCUAGUGUAGAGGUGAAAUUCGUAGAUAUUAGAAAGAAUACCAAUUGCGAAGGCAGCUUUCUGGAUCAUUACUGACACUGAGGAACGAAAGCAUGGGUAGCGAAGAGGAUUAGAUACCCUCGUAGUCCAUGCCGUAAACGAUGUGUGUUAGACGUUGGAAAUUUAUUUUCAGUGUCGCAGCGAAAGCAGUAAACACACCGCCUGGGGAGUACGACCGCAAGGUUAAAACUCAAAUGAAUUGACGGGGACCCGCACAAGUAGUGGAGCAUGUGGUUUAAUUCGAAGAUACGCGCAGAACCUUACCAACACUUGACAUGUUCGUCGCGACUUUAAGAGAUUAAAGUUUUCGGUUCGGCCGGACGAAACACAGGUGCUGCAUGGCUGUCGUCAGCUCGUGUCGUGAGAUGUUGGGUUAAGUCCCGCAACGAGCGCAACCCUCACUUUUAGUUGCCAUCAUUUAGUUGGGCACUCUGAAAGAACUGCCAGUGAUAAGCUGGAGGAAGGUGGGGAUGACGUCAAGUCCUCAUGGCCCUUACGUGUUGGGCUACACACGUGCUACAAUGGUAUUUACAAUAGGAUGCAAGAUGGCGACAUCAAGCAAAUCCUAAAAAAAUACCUCAGUUCGGAUUGCACUCUGCAACUCGAGUGCAUGAAGCUGGAAUUACUAGUAAUCGCGGAUCAGCGUGCCG